rnacentral:rRNA from 1 species
AACGAACGCUGGCGGCAUGCCUAACACAUGCAAGUCGAACGAGACCUUCGGGUCUAGUGGCGCACGGGUGCGUAACACGUGGGAAUUUGCCUCGGGGUAUGGAAUAACUCAGGGAAACUUGAGCUAAUACCAUAUAAUGUCUUCGGACCAAAGAUUUAUCGCCCUGAGAUAAGCCCGCGUAGGAUUAGCUAGUUGGUGAGGUAAAGGCUCACCAAGGCGACGAUCCUUAGCUGGUCUGAGAGGAUGAUCAGCCACACUGGGACUGAGACACGGCCCAGACUCCUACGGGAGGCAGCAGUGGGGGAAUAUUGGACAAAUGGGCGAAAGCCUGAUCCAGCAAUGCCGCGUGAGUGAUGAAGGCCUCGGUUGGUU